ensembl:Mt_tRNA
AGAAAUUUAGGCUAAAUAGACCAAGAGCCUUCAAAGCUCUAAGUAGACAAACCCCGUCUAAUUUCUG